AUUCUAGAGCUAAUACAUGCUGUUAAGCCUGACUUCUUGAAGGGCUGUAUUUAUUAGAUAACAGACCAAUAUUCCUCGUGUCUAUUGUGGUGACUCAUAGUAACUGAUCGGAUCGCACGGGCUUGCCCGCGACAAACCAUUCAAGUUUCUGCCCCAUCAGCUUUCGAUGGUAGUGUAUUGGACUACCAUGGCUUUUACGGGUAACGGAGGAUUAGGGUUCGAUUCCGGAGAGGGAGCCUGAGAAACGGCUACCACAUCUAAGGAAGGCAGCAGGCGCGUAAAUUACCCAAUCCUGACUCAGGGAGGUAGUG
rnacentral:rRNA from 1 species